rnacentral:rRNA from 1 species
AGCAGCCGCGGUAAUUCCAGCUCCAAUAGCGUAUAUUAAAGUUGUUGCAGUUAAAAAGCUCGUAGUUGAAUUUCGGGGUCAGUAGGCUGGUCAUGCCACUGGUAUGUACUGGUCUUACUGAUUCCUCCUUCCUGACGAACCGUAAUGCCAUUAAUUUGGUGCUGCGGGGAAUUUGGACUGUUACUUUGAAAAAAUUGAGUGUUUAAAGCAGGCUAACGCUUGAAUACAUUAGCAUGGAAUAAUGGAAUAGGACGUUCGAUCCUAUUUUGUUGGUUUCUAGGAUUGACGUAAUGAUUAAUAGGGAUAGUUGGGGGCAUUAGUAUUCAAUUGUCAGAGGUGAAAUUCUUGGAUUUAUUGAAGACUAACUACUGCGAAAGCAUUUGCCAAGGAUGUUUUCAUUAAUCAAGAACGAAAGUUAGGGAUCGAAGACGAUCAGAUACCGUCGUAGUCUUAACCAUAAACUAUAGCCGACUAGGGAUCGGAUGAUGUUAAUUUUUAUGUUACUCAUUCAGCGUACCG